rnacentral:misc_RNA from 1 species
GUCCUGUUGGGCGGAACCUCUGCGGAGCGGGACGUUUCGUUAAAUUCCGGCGCGGCAGUGUUGGCCGGGUUACGUGAAGGCGGUAUUGAUGCGCAUCCCGUCGAUCCGCAAGAGGUCGAUGUCGCGCAGCUUAAAGUAAUGGGCUUUCAGAAGGUCUUUAUUGCGUUGCAUGGCCGCGGCGGUGAAGAUGGCACCUUACAGGGAAUGCUUGAGCUGCUCGGCCUGCCUUAUACCGGCAGCGGCGUGAUGGCCUCGGCGCUUUCCAUGGAUAAACUGCGCAGUAAAUUGCUGUGGCAGGGCGCGGGCUUACCG